AGGUUUAGACUUUGGCUUUCGGCGCUAACGCAUUAAGUAGACCGCCUGGGGAGUACGGCCGCAAGGUUAAAACUCAAAUGAAUUGACGGGGGCCCGCACAAGCGGUGGAGCAUGUGGUUUAAUUCGAUGCAACGCGAAGAACCUUACCUACUCUUGACAUCCAGCGAAGCCUUUAGAGAUAGAGGCGUGCCUUCGGGAGCGCUGAGACAGGUGCUGCAUGGCUGUCGUCAGCUCGUGUUGUGAAAUGUUGGGUUAAGUCCCGCAACGAGCGCAACCCUUAUCCUUGUUUGCCAGCACAUAAUGGUGGGAACUCCAGGGAGACUGCCGGUGAUAAACCGGAGGAAGGUGGGGACGACGUCAAGUCAUCAUGGCCCUUACGAGUAGGGCUACACACGUGCUACAAUGGCAGAUACAGAGGGCAGCGAAGCUGCGAAGUGGAGCGAAUCCCUUAAAGUCUGUCGUAGUCCGGAUUGGAGUCUGCAACUCGACUCCAUGAAGUCGGAAUCGCUAGUAAUCGUGGAUCAGAAUGCCACGGUGAAUACGUUCCCGGGCCUUGUACACACCGCCCGUCACACCAUGGGAGUGGGCUGCACCAGAAGUAGAUAGCUUAAC
rnacentral:rRNA from 1 species